GUAAAUUUAAAAAAAAAUGGUAUUUUUAUUCCAAAGAUCCUCUCGGUACAAAUGGCAUGAAGAAUAAUGCAACAGGUACAGCUGACCCUAUGAUUUCAGGAAAUUAGUUUCAUCAUUAACCAUGCAAAAGAACAAAUUGUGACAACAAUUUUUCAAGCAGAAGCAUAUUGGUAUCCUUUGUUACAAAGAAAACAGUGUAAGCCACUUUCUGUCAAAUAGGAUGUAGAUAUUUUCCGAAAGACAGACAGUUAAUGCUUUUUAUUAUGUUUACGAAAAUCAUAUUCAUCCAGGUUGGAUAGGAAGUGCCUAUGCUUUAUGUUACAUAAUCUCUAAAGCUUCUAAUUCAAACCAGACUAGAAUUUAUAUUGGCACCCUUUGUUAU
rnacentral:misc_RNA from 1 species